GCCGAUGUGGUGAAAUUGGUAGACACGCAACCUUGAGGUGGUUGUGGCUUAGGCUGUAGCGGUUCGAGUCCGCUCAUCGGCACCA
rnacentral:tRNA from 1 species